GCUGGUGUAGCUCAGUUGGCUAGAGCAGCUGAUUUGUAAUCAGCAGGUCGUGGGUUCGAGUCCCUUCACCAGCUCCA
rnacentral:tRNA from 1 species